CUUUCGAGUCUCGUAAAAAUAGUGUUUACUUGUCCAUGUGUGCAGCUGAUUCAAUAUGUAUGUAUGGAUUUGUGUCAUGGCCAUUCCGGUAGUCCAAGUAAAAUUGAUAUACUGGUGUUUACUGCAAGCUUAUCUGUCCUGGCUCCCAAGCAUUCAGAGAAAGCUAAUUGUUAUUCAGAAUUUGCACCCACACCAGCAGAGCGAAGACUGAUUCUAGGACAACAACUUUAGCAAGAGGCCCCUGGGUUCCUGACCCAAUUGCUAAGAAGAACCGAAGAGAUCUAAAUAAUAAGCACGAUACUAUUCAAAAACAUUAAAAAUAAUUUUGGAACUCUAA